rnacentral:rRNA from 1 species
CCUACGGGUGGCAGCAGUGAGGAAUAUUGGUCAAUGGGCGCGAGCCUGAACCAGCCAAGUAGCGUGAAGGAUGACUGCCCUACGGGUUGUAAACUGCUUUUAUGAGGGAAUAAAGUGAGGCACGUGUGCCUUUUUGUAUGUACUGUAUGAAUAAGGAUCGGCUAACUCCGUGCCAGCAGCCGCGGUAAUACGGAGGGUCCGGGCGUUAUCCGGAUUUAUUGGGUUUAAAGGGAGCGUAGAUGGGUUGUUAAGUCAGUUGUGAAAGGUUGCGGCUCAACCGUAACAUUGCAGUUGAUACUGGCAGGCUUGAGUACAGGUGAGGUAGGCGGAAUUCGUGGUGUAGCGGUGAAAUGCUUAGAUAUCACGAAGAACUCCGAUUGCGAAGGCAGCUUACUAAACUGCCACUGACAUUGAUGCUCGAAAGUGUGGGUAUCAAACAGGAUUAGAUACCCUAGUAGUC